rnacentral:rRNA from 1 species
UACGUAGGGGGCAAGCGUUGUCCGGAUUUAUUGGGCGUAAAGAGCGUGUAGGCGGCCAGACAAGUCUGCCGUGAAAACUCGAGGCUCAACCUCGAGCUGUCGGUGGAAACUGUCUGGCUAGAGUCCGGAAGAGGAGAGUGGAAUUCCUGGUGUAGCGGUGAAAUGCGCAGAUAUCAGGAAGAACACCUAUGGCGAAGGCAGCUCUCUGGGACGGUACUGACGCUGAGACGCGAAAGCGUGGGGAGCGAACAGG